rnacentral:rRNA from 1 species
AAGACAUGCAAGUCGCACGGAACCCGCAAGGGGUUUAGUGGCGCAAGGGUGNAGUAAUGUAUCGCUAANCNGUACCGGAAGCUGGGAUAGCUGCCCGAAAGGGCAGGUAAUACCAGAUGAUAUAUCCUGGCCGCAUGGUUGGGAUCUCAAAGGAGCAAUCCGCUCUGGGCGCGGGCGAUGUCGUAUCAGCUAGUUGGUGAGGUAACGGCUCACCAAGGCGACGACGCGUAGCCGGACUGAGAGGUCGGUCGGCCACAUCGGGACUGAGACACUGCCCGGACUCCUACGGGGGGCUGCAGUAACGAAUCUUCCCCAAUGGGCGCAAGCCUGAGGGAGCGACGCCGCGUGGAGGAUGAAGUCCUUCGGGAUGUAAACUCCUGUCAGGGGUUACCAAGUUCUGAGGAGCCCCAGAGGAAGAGGCGGCUAACUCUGUGCCAGCAGCCGCGGUAAGACAGAGGCCUCAAGCGUUAGGCGGAAUCACUGGGCUUAAAGCGUGUGUAGGCGGAUCGUUAAGUGCCUUGUGAAAUCCCACGGCUUAACUGUGGAACGGCUGGGCAUACUGGCGGUCUUGAGCCAUCUAGGGGCGACUGGAACAAACGGUGGAGCGGUGAAAUGCGUAGAUAUCGUUUGGAACGCCAAUGGUGAAAACAGGUCGCUGGGGAUGUGCUGACGCUGAGACACGAAAGCCAGGGGAGCAAACGGGAUUAGAUACCCCGGUAGUCCUGGCCCUAAACGAUGUCCACUAGAUCACAGGACCUCUGACGGUUUUGUGGUCGAAGCAAAAGUGCUAAGUGGACCGCCUGGGAAGUACGGUCGCAAGGCUAAAACUCAAAGGAAUUGACGGGGGCUCACACAAGCGGUGGAGCAUGUGGUUCAAUUCGAAGCAACGCGCAGAACCUUACCUGGGCUUGACAUGCUUGGAUUAUCUCCAUGAAAGUGGAGUAGGCCCUUCGGGGUACAACAAGUACAGGUGCUGCAUGGCUGUCGUCAGCUCGUGUCGUGAGAUGUCGGGUUAAGUCCCAUAACGAGCGAAACCUUUGCUGUUAGUUGCUCACUCGUAAGAGUAGCACUCUAACUAGGACUGCUGGUGAUAAACCGGAGGAAGGUGGGGAUGACGUCAAGUCAUCAUGGCCUUUAUGUCCCGGGCUACACACGUGCUACAAUGGCUGGUACAAAGGGUUGCUAAAUCGCAAGGUGGAGCCAAUCCCAGAAAGCCAGCCUCAGUUCGGAUUGCACUCUGCAACUCGAGUGCAUGAAGGUGGAUCGCUAGUAAUCCGGAUCAGCAUGCCGCGGUGAUACAUUCCGGCCUUGACCACCG